GGGGACGUGGCGGAAUCGGCAGACGCGCUAGACUUAGGAUCUAGUGCUGCAAAGCGUGAGAGUUCAAGUCUCUCCGUCCCCACCA
rnacentral:tRNA from 1 species